rnacentral:misc_RNA from 1 species
AAGUCGUAACAAGGUUUCCGUAGGUGAACCUGCGGAAGGAUCAUUAACACGUAUCCAAACGUUAAAACCCCCCCCGUGAACUUUCAAUCCUGCUCUUGUAACCCGCGUAGUUCCGCAAUCUCUGGUAAAUCAUAGCCCGGAAAGUUGUUUUGAUUCAGAGACCUCUGGCAUAGCGCUUCACGAUUCCUGUAGACCGUACACUCGGGCAGGAGCUAUGCCAAAGGGUCCCCAUGCCCCCUUACAACCCCACAGUUUAAUGUAAAGCUCAAUGUAAUACAUUGGGUAAAAAAACCGAACAACUGUUAACAAUGGAUAUCUUGGUUCUC